AUUGAACGCUAGCGGGAUGUUUUAUACAUGCAAGUCGAACGGCAGCGCGGACUUCGGUCUGGCGGCGAGUGGCGAACGGGUGAGUAAUGUAUCGGAACGUGCCCAGUAGCGGGGGAUAACUACGCGAAAGCGUAGCUAAUACCGCAUACGCCCUACGGGGGAAAGCAGGGGAUCGUAAGACCUUGCACUAUUGGAGCGGCCGAUAUCGGAUUAGCUAGUUGGUGAGGUAACGGCUCACCAAGGCGACGAUCCGUAGCUGGUUUGAGAGGACGACCAGCCACACUGGGACUGAGACACGGCCCAGACUCCUACGGGAGGCAGCAGUGGGGAAUUUUGGACAAUGGGGGCAACCCUGAUCCAGCCAUCCCGCGUGUGCGAUGAAGGCCUUCGGGUUGUAAAGCACUUUUGGCAGGAAAGAAACGUCGCGGGCUAAUACCCCGUGGAACUGACGGUACCUGCAGAAUAAGCACCGGCUAACUACGUG
rnacentral:rRNA from 1 species